rnacentral:lncRNA from 1 species
CCAAAUAUCAAUAUCUAAACAAUAAUAAACAACAGCAUCCACAAAGACCAACAUCAUUUAAUAUAGGCUAAAUUACAAAAAAAAAACCUGUCAAAGCCCGAUUUUUCACUUUCCCCCUCUCUCAUUUAAAAACCUACACUUUGUCCCUUUAAAAAAUAAAAAAUAUUCACAGGAGGGUACGGUAUGAAUUGUGAUAAUAAAAUGAUCAUUUUGCCCCUCACCAUGUUCACAGGAGAGAAGGCUGAAGGCAUUUUUGGCACAAAAAAUAUAUAAUAAUAUUUUAUAAAUAGAACUCUAAC